UUUCUCUUAUAUGAGCUGAUGAGGUUAAAUUCAGAAAACCCAGAUGAAGUGUGUUCGGAGUAGACAGAGCGGCGCGGCUCAGUAGCAUGAGGAGUUUAGUCUUAGAAAUUAAGUGUCAAGAGCAACACUUUGUUUGACUCCCAGUGAACACAGAUGCUGAUAGCUUGAAUAAGGCAACUGGGUCUUUGGCCCUAAACCUGAAGCUGGU
rnacentral:lncRNA from 12 species